AACGAACGCUGGCGGCAGGCCUAACACAUGCAAGUCGAGCGAGGACUUCGGUUCUAGCGGCGGACGGGUGAGUAACGCGUGGGAAUGUGCCCUUCUCUACGGAAUAGCCCUGGGAAACUGGGAGUAAUACCGUAUACGCCCUUUUAGGGAAAGAUUUAUCGGAGAAGGAUCAGCCCGCGUUGGAUUAGGUAGUUGGUGGGGUAAUGGCCUACCAAGCCGACGAUCCAUAGCUGGUUUGAGAGGAUGAUCAGCCACACUGGGACUGAGACACGGCCCAGACUCCUACGGGAGGCAGCAGUGGGGAAUCUUAGACAAUGGGGGCAACCCUGAUCUAGCCAUGCCGCGUGAGUGAUGAAGGCCUUAGGGUUGUAAAGCUCUUUCAGCUGGGAAGAUAAUGACGGUACCAGCAGAAGAAGCCCCGGCUAACUCCGUG
rnacentral:rRNA from 1 species